rnacentral:rRNA from 1 species
UACGUAGGUCCCGAGCGUUGUCCGGAUUUAUUGGGCGUAAAGCGAGCGCAGGUGGUUUAUUAAGUCUGGUGUAAAAGGCAGUGGCUCAACCAUUGUAUGCAUUGGAAACUGGUAGACUUAAGUGCAGGAGAGGAGAGUGGAAUUCCAUGUGUAGUGGUGAAAUGCGUAGAUAUAUGGAGGAACACCGGUGGCGAAAGCGGCUCUCUGGCCUGUAACUGACACUGAGGCUCGAAAGCGUGGGGAGCAAACAGG